GACGAACGCUGGCGGCGUGCUUAACACAUGCAAGUCGAACGGAAAGGCCCUGCUUUUGUGGGGUGCUCGAGUGGCGAACGAGUGAGUAACACGUGAGUAACCUGCCCUUGACUUUGGGAUAACUUCAGGAAACUGGGGCUAAUACCGGAUAGGAGCUCCUGCUGCAUGGUGGGGGUUGGAAAGUUUCGGCGGUUGGGGAUGGACUCGCGGCUUAUCAGCUUGUUGGUGGGGUAGUGGCUUACCAAGGCUUUGACGGGUAGCCGGCCUGAGAGGGUGACCGGCCACAUUGGGACUUGAGAUACGGCCCAGACUCCUACGGGAGGCAGCAGUGGGGAAUAUUGCACAAUGGGCGGAAGCCUGAUGCAGCAACGCCGCGUGCGGGAUGACGGCCUUCGGGUUGUAAACCGCUUUCGCCUGUGACGAAGCGUGAGUGACGGUAAUGGGUAAAGAAGCACCGGCUAACUACGUG
rnacentral:rRNA from 1 species